CACGUAGGGUGCGAGCGUUGUCCGGAAUUAUUGGGCGUAAAGAGCUCGUAGGCGGUGUGUCGCGUCGGCCGUGAAAACCUGCAGCUUAACUGUGGGCUUGCGGUCGAUACGGGCAUCACUGGAGUUCGGCAGGGGAGACUGGAAUUCCUGGUGUAGCGGUGAAAUGCGCAGAUAUCAGGAGGAAUACCGGUGGCGAAGGCGGCAUCCUGGACCGACAUUGACGCUGAACGGCGAAAGCUAGGGGAGCAAACGGG
rnacentral:rRNA from 1 species